rnacentral:rRNA from 1 species
GAUCCUGGCUCAGGAUGAACGCUGGCGGCGUGCUUAACACAUGCAAGUCGAGCGAAGCAGUUAAGAAGAUUCUUCGGAUGAUUCUUAACUGACUGAGCGGCGGACGGGUGAGUAACGCGUGGGUGACCUGCCCCAUACCGGGGGAUAACAGCUGGAAACGGCUGCUAAUACCGCAUAAGCGCACAGAGCUGCAUGGCUCGGUGUGAAAAACUCCGGUGGUAUGGGAUGGGCCCGCG